CGUCCCUCUCGAUCUACUACUGUACAUACCUAUUUUCACCUUGGAUCGACGUCGACGACUGAAGCCUUAGAGCAGGCCACCGAUACUGCUCGAGGAAAAGGAUUCUGUUGAACAACUGCGCCUUCCCAGCUCACCAGCAACGGCUGUUCGAUCUUUGCCUGCUCUUUCCCUAUGAAAUGUACCGUGUGAACAGUGACAACACGGGGACGUCAGAAUUGACUAUCCGAUGCACGUCUUGUAAUCAGGGGCGAAACCAGACUAAAAUCUGAGUAAAUAGAUAUUUACUAUCUAAUUGAUCCUAGUAGAUACAGUAAAAAAGAUAAAAUGUCUACUAAAAUCAAAAAAUUGAGUAGAGUCUGUGCUCCCGCUUGGCUCAAUGUAGGUCCGCCCUGCUUGUACUCCUUUAUCACUCUAUUUUUACUAGUAAGGUCUUGUGUCUAACGGACCGUAUAUAUGAUCUUGGAAAACUUACAUUGUAGAUGGUAUUAUUUGUAUAAUGAAGUUUAAAAUAAGAUAUGGAAUAAGAGGUAGGAAAUGAUAGUUGCUAAACAUUUUUCGAAACAGUUGUAGUUUGGACGAUUUUUUUUCUUCAACGGAUGGAAUUCGGACGUGCGCACGUCAUGAUCGGCAGGAUAGGACAAGAGUAUUGGUGCGUGUGGCACUUUGGAAUUUGGAUGGGUUCGUGUCGGCUUUGUGUGCCAGCGAUAGCCUUAUAGACCUAUCCCAUCCCAACAGAACAUGUAAAGGGAGACACAUAAUUGUUUGUCUCAUGCGUGUCGCUGUAGCAGCAGCCCAAAAAAAAACUUUUAAUAGGAGAUACAUACACGUGAUGCAUUUUUGUGUGCCUCGUCCGAGGAGAGCUAAAAAUAUGUAUCAUCUCUCAUCGCACACACGGGAGCCACGGUCACAUUGUAAUAUGAUGCCUUUUUAGCUAAAGGCAUGUCCAGCGGAUGGUGUCAUCUUCAGACUUAUCAAAUGAGAAUGAUGAAAUCUUCCUUUCACAGC
rnacentral:lncRNA from 7 species